CUCCCCCGACCACUCCUACCCCGGCGCCGACCACGCCCCUCCCCACCACUACUGCAGAAGUGUCUCCGUGCGAAAAGAAACAGGACAUCAGAAACCUCACGUCCGACUCCUGUCGGGCCGAGAACGUGGAGGUCCAGUUCUGCUCCGGAAUGUGCGACUCCUACACCCAGCUGCUGUCCUUUGAUCCUUACUUCGAGACGGUGUGCGAGUGUUGUACCUACAUCCUGGAUGAGAUGCAGCCUAUCAGAUUCGUGACAAUGCAGUGUGAUAAUGGGGAGACUGAGGACACCAUUCUCCCCAACAUUGCGGAGUGCCAGUGUCUCACCUGUCAAGGAGAAAGCAACGUGCAACCGUAACAGGACGAGCAUGGACAAAAAACAUUAAAAAAGCGCAUGGACAAAAAGAAAUGAACGUUUAUGACAAUAAGUAGACAUUAGUUCUUAGUAGUGACACACGUCAGAAAGUAAGAGUGAGUGACAACGUUUUCCGUUGUCUCAAGUGGAAGACCUCAGAAACACGCACAACUAUGAAGACGCACAAUAAAGAUGAAUAAAUAAAGUUGAG